rnacentral:lncRNA from 1 species
UGUUCAUUCAUUGCAUACAUUCAUUGCAUAUGUUUAGAAAGUAAGAAAAAGAAAAUUGAUGUUAAAUGAAUUUGAAAAGAGACAUUAGAAGAUGAUCAAUAAUAAUCCAGUUGAGAUGAAAGAAAUUGCUUUAAGUAAGAAUUUUUUAAAGUUUCAAUGCCUUCAUUAAAAAUGAGCUUUUUAAAAAAUGAGAGUGAUCUAUAAAAUCUUAGGGCAUGAUCUUAAAAAUCCCAACUUUGAUUUUUCAAAAACUUCAAACCCCUAAUGGGGGAGCACUUCAAAUUUUCAAAAGUUUCAAAACCCUAGUAAGGGAGCACUUUAAAUUUUCAAAUUUUUUCAAAGCCUUAAAUAGGGGUAGAUUUAUUUUUCAAAAGUUUCGAAACCCUAGUGAAUGAGCAUUUUAUUUUUCAAAAAGUUUCAAAGCCUCCGAUGAGUUAGCAUUUAAUUUUCCAAAGUUUCAAAGCCCUGGUGGGGGAGCAUUUAUUUUUCAAAAGUUUUAAAACCUUUAGUGGAAAGACCAUUUUAUUUUUCAAAAGUUUCAAAGGCUCUGGUGGGGGGAGAGCAUUUUAUUUUCAAAGUUUCAAAGACUCUAGUGAGGGGAGCAUUUUACAUUAUCAAAGUUUCAAAACCUCUGGUAAAAAGAGCCUUUUAGAUUUUUUCAUCAGGGUGCGCAGGUCUGGAACCCUAUACAAAGGGCGUUUCCUUUCAAAUGACAACUGCCUCUUCCUGCUGCGAGGGCGUUGCACGAAAGCAAACCGCCCCCCCGCCCGAUCAACUACCAGUUGCUUCGCAGGUAGGCCCGCGUAGGUUAGGGGGGCAUUGUCCCUCAGUUCUUACCAACCUCCGGUGUGGAAUCGACAUGUUGCUAGCUUCAACUCGGUUGAAUAAGAAUCAUUGAUUCUCUCUGUUGUCCAUUUCUUAUUCAUUCAGGGCGCUCGACUUAAAAGUUUCAAAGUCUCUGUUGAGGAAGAACCUUUUUUUAUUUUUCUUAUCUCAAACAAAAUGGAUGUCUUCUGUCUUUGUAUAAUUCAUAUUUCAUAAAAAAUGUGCAAAAAGAGAUAGCUAUAAACACCUAAUUUUGUUUAAGGUCUUUUUGAUAUUAUUGGGUUUUGAAUUGUAUUAUUGGGUUUUAAAAACUAGGGUCUUGAAUUGUAUUAUUGGGUUUUAAAAACUAUUUUUUUUAAAUCCAAAUUUAAAUCUCAAAAGUAUUUUUUAUUUUGUUAAAAUAAUAACAUAAAUUGUGAUUUUAUUUAGAUUUAAAAUUAAAGAUUGAGUU